UACCCACACCUAUAACUACAAAACAAUACAGGACAUUUACACAUGUAAACAUUAUCUCAAAACAAUAAGGAAGAAAAGGGUAACCACAACUCUAUAACUACAAAAAUAUAACAGUUAGUUCAAGUAACUCACAAAAUGUAGAUUAAUUGUAGUUAGUAUGAAGGUAAAUGUAGCAGCAUACAAAAGUGAAAAAUAUACCUUAUCUACAAUUUAUCCAGCAGACUACAAAACAACUACAAAAUGACUACAUUUAUGCACUGUCUAAAAAUCACAAUUACAAUUAACCUACAAAAUUGAGACAAACAAUCUACAAAAUUUGGACAAUUCCACAUUUUACCAAAAAACACUUGAACAACAGAUUUUUACAACCAAAAUCACACUAAAAACUGUAAAGAAAAAUAAUUAGUAUUUACCUUUACCAAAAUCUUUUUGUAAACCAAUUUUGGUACUUUUUUUGAGGGUUUCUUCUUUUUCGGUUUUGAUGAAGAAGGAGAGACCUUGGGUUUUUUCACAUAUGGAAUUUUAGGGGAAUGUUCAACAAAAUUAUCAUCUACACACAACUCUUUGCCCUUUCGUUUGAGUUGUUUUUCGACUGGUUUAUCACCUCCACCAGCAUCAACAUCGUGCAAAUGCUUGGUUCUCAUCUCCGCACGGAUUUGUCUAGGAGAUGAAAUACUAGUAGUAGGUUCACUUGCAUGUGUCGAUUUUGCGUUUUUUGGGAGGUGAUUUUGGUGUUAAAACACCCAAAUCAAAUGAUGGGAUAUCAGCUAAUGUAGCUUUUGAAGUUUUUUUUUUUGGAGUGCUGAUUUUUUUCAUGAUUUGGGAUUUGAAAAUACAGAUGCAACUUCAAAAUAGGAUUUUGUGAAAUUAACUAGAAAAGAAAAUUGUAGAAUCGUGGGUAACUGAUGGUAAACGUGGGUGAGAGGCAAGUAUACGAAAAUGGAGGAAUUAACUGAAGGUUAAACGUGAGGGUGUGGGAGGUGGGAGGAGAGAGAGAGGCGGGUAAACGAAAAUGAGAGAAUAUACGCUCCUAAAUUAACGCCUAAUAUAAAUGAAGCAUUAAUUAUAUUCUUAAUUUAAAUUGUGGUAUAUAAAUGGUAAUUUGGUAUGCUGAAAUAUAAUUAACACAAUCCUUAAACAUUGAGUGUAAUAAGGUUUCAUAUAUGGUAUAGGAAGGUAAAAAUCUCUUUUUCAGGAUGCACCCAAGACAUCACAGGUGAGAUAGACAGUAGAGCUAAUUGCCCAACAUUACGUAAAUGGACUAUAUCCAAACAGAGCAGGCCCAGGAAACUUGAUCCAUUUGCCCAAGCAGCACUCGGACCAGUAAUCCAUGACACAUUUCUCGCAAAAACCCUAAAAUUGACCCACCCUAUAAAUUCGCACUUGAGACUUUAGGGUUUCUCUUCACUGCCAUAUCGUUUUAUCACUAUCCUCUUCUCCGCUUUUACAGCGAAACCGAGAGCAGCUACCCACCCACCACCUGCUCGACAAAAUGGCACAAGAAUCACUAGUCCUCCGCGGCACAAUGAAAGCCCACACCGAUUGGGUUACAGCCAUCGCCACCCCAAUUGACAACUCCGACAUGAUCGUUACUUCCUCCAGGGACAAGUCCCUAAUCGUCUGGUCUCUCACAAAGGAUGGCCCACAAUACGGUGUCCCCCGUCGCCGUCUCACUGGCCACGGCCACUUCGUCCAGGAUGUCGUCCUUUCCUCCGACGGUAUGUUCGCUCUCUCUGGUUCCUGGGACGGUGAGCUUCGCCUUUGGGAUCUUCAAGCUGGAACAACCGCUCGCCGUUUCGUCGGUCACACUAAGGAUGUUCUGUCCGUUGCAUUCUCUGUCGACAACCGUCAGAUCGUAUCCGCUUCACGCGACAAAACCAUCAAGCUGUGGAACACACUCGGUGAAUGCAAAUACACCAUUCAGGAGGGUGACUCGCAUUCUGAUUGGGUUUCAUGUGUUCGAUUCAGCCCGAAUACACUUCAGCCCACUAUCGUUUCUGGAUCCUGGGACCGUACUGUGAAAAUCUGGAACCUGACUAACUGUAAGCUGAGGUCCACUCUGGCUGGACACGCCGGCUACGUGAACACCGUGGCUGUCUCUCCUGAUGGUUCAUUGUGUGCUAGUGGAGGCAAAGAUGGUACUAUUUUGCUUUGGG
rnacentral:lncRNA from 1 species